GAUGAACUACUUUCUUAUCAUCGUCAAAUUUUUUUCACUUGAGGUUUAGAGUAUAAAAGCGGGCGGUCCAUUGCCGAAAGUUAUAUCUUCUUUAUCUCCUGCAGUGAGUAAGAAAAUCUCAACUUCACCAUGCAUUACUUGUUCGCUAUCCUUGUCUUGGUGGCCCUGAUGGCAGUGGCCUUCGCUCAGUGGCCAUACUAUGGGACCUACUACAACACUCAUGCCCUGGCUUACCCCUAUGCCUAUAACUACGGCGUCUACAACCCAGCUCUCACCUACUUGUGGAAGAAAUGAACGUAGCAAAUGAGAAAAGUUCGCAAUGAAAGAAGAUGAUGAACUAUGUCGAAGAUGAUGGAAAUAUCUUAAUUCCUUUUACCUUUGCUCGUUCAAAUUCUCGAUAUCUUUCUGUUUCCAUUUCUGAAAUAAAAAAAAAAUUAAAAUGGAAAUUCACCA